rnacentral:rRNA from 1 species
UACGUAGGGUGCGAGCGUUGUCCGGAUUUAUUGGGCGUAAAGAGCCCGUAGGCGGCUUGUCGCGUCGGAUGUGAAAGCCCCGGGGCUUAACUCCGGGUCUGCAUUCGAUACGGGCAGGCUAGAGUGUGGUAGGGGAGAUCGGAAUUCCUGGUGUAGCGGUGAAAUGCGCAGAUAUCAGGAGGAACACCGGUGGCGAAGGCGGAUCUCUGGGCCAUUACUGACGCUGAGGAGCGAAAGCGUGGGGAGCGAACAGG